rnacentral:rRNA from 1 species
UACGUAGGGGGGCAAGCGUUGUUCGGAAUUACUGGGCGUAAAGGGCGCGUAAGCGGCACGGCAAGUCAGGAGUGAAAGCCCUGGGCUCAACCCGGGAACUGCUUUUGAAACUGCCGAGCUAGAGUGCGGAAGGGGCAACUGGAAUUCCCAGUGUAGCGGUGAAAUGCGUAGAUAUUGGGAAGAACACCUGAGGCGAAGGCGGGUUGCUGGGCCGACACUGACGCUGAGGCGCGAAAGCCAGGGGAGCGAACGGG